CUGUAGCUGGAGCACAGGUAAUCAACUCAGCCAAGAAACAGCCUCUGACUUAAUUUCAUACCUCAGUGGGCAUUCUGGAGAGAGCAGCCAGCAGGCUGGGCCUUUGUUCAGUGAAGCCCCAGCGCGUCACCCUCAAAUCAUCUCUGCAGGGAGUUUCUGAUCAUUCUCACUCAAAUGUGACCAGCCCCCCUUAUUCUCCACACUCUGCACGUAUGUCACCCAGAUACAUGUGCACGUACAUUUGCACAUAUACUCACGCAUGUACAUGUGUGCCCACACACCAUGCGCAUACAUAUAGGCACACAGACACACACCCACAUAUAUACAUGCAUGCCUACACACCACACACAAGCGUGUACAUCACAGCCAUGUAUAGACCUGUCUAUCCCAUGCACACAGGCACACAUGCGCAGACACCCAUGCACUGCACACAUGCAUAAGCAUAAACCCACACCCACAUUUAUACACACACAUCCCACACAUACCAUGCAUGCACACAUAUGCACACAUGUACAAGCAUACACAGGGGCAUAUGCUUAUGUACACUAUACACACCCUGUCACAUAUAUACAUGCAAGCACAUACCACAAAUACAUGUACAUAUGUGUACACACUUCACACACACAUAAGCACACACAUGCAUGUGCACAGUAGUGCCUCUGGGGUCUGGGAAGGUGACCAGGGGAGGCCCUCGUGGGAAUCUGGCAGGAGGUCACAGGCACUGGGAACUGGAACCACUGGCCUACCACAUGCAUGUGGGCAACACUCCAUUUGUAGACUCAGUUUCCUUAUCUGUCCUGUCUCCAUGUUUUAAAAACUGUCCAUGAAGUGCCUCUGGGUGCCCCUGUGAGGCCAUGGUGAGAGACAGUCCCACCACUCUGUCCCCUGGGGGGCUAGGACAGGUGAUGACUGUGAAAUGCUCUCAGCCCCGGAAUGGAGCUGCAGGGAUGAACUGGAGGAUGGCAUGGGCCAGAGCUCAGGAGAUCGGAAGGAUGGACUCCACGUUCCAUGAAGAGGGUACUGAGAAGCUGGGAUCCCACACAGCCCAGCAGCCACUUGGCAGAAGUGGAAGUCUUGGCCUCUGGGAGGCAGAGUGCACAUCUCAGCCCUCUUGGUCCCCCUGGACACAUUGGUUCGGGGAAAGUGCAUUCUCUGAGCUCGAAGCAGGAAUCUGGACUCUGUUGGUAGUGUUACCAGAGGUAGGUUCCAUCUGGUCCCCGUUUCUCUCUUUCACAGAAGUGCAUCAGACUUCUGGUUGUAGAGCUUAUUUCUUCGAGUCUCUGGCCCUGAGCUUGGCCUUGCGAACAGCCUGGGCACAGCUGCUAGCAGAUAGGAUGUGAGGCUGCAAUCAGCAUGAUGUCUGGGCCUGGCUCUGCACUCUGUCAUCUGCUGUGAGAAGCACACACCGGAGGAGCCACAGGUGGUCCUUGUGCAAUGCCACUGGAAGGAGACAGCUCACCAGCACUGCCCUUGUUCUGAAGUUGGACUGAGGACCUGCCCAGCUCCAGCCUGGUGAGCCCUGUUUCAGAGGAAGGCAAGUCCUCCAGCAAACCCUGGUGCUCUUCAAGAUGAGUGACCCUCCUCUUCUGUGCAUGUACUCCAAGCCGACCCAUCUGGAGCGUCCAUGGUUUGAGGUCAGAAUUAGGACACUCUCGCCUCGGGCAGAGGAGCGUUGACAUCUCCAGCUGAAUUAUGGAUUUCCCCCUCAGUUCCCUCUGCUUCAGCUGCCCAUAUUUAAGGUUUGCUGCAAGGCAUGUACACCUGUGCCUGGACUGCUCUGGCAAUAGGUAACAUCCCUCUGUCUCUGG
ensembl:lncRNA